AUUGAACGCUGGCGGCAGGCCUAACACAUGCAAGUCGAGCGAGCAGCGGACGGGUGAGUAAUGUAUGGGAACCUGCCUGAUGGAGGGGGAUAACUACUGGAAACGGUAGCUAAUACCGCAUACCAUCAGAUGUGCCCAGCUGGGGUUAGCUAGUAGUGGGGGUAACGGCUCACCUAGUCGCCGAUACCUAGCUGGUCUGAGAGGAUGACCAGCAAGACUGGAACUGAGACACGGCCCAGACGCCUACGGGAUGCAGAAGGGGGGUAUAUUGCACAAUGGGCGCAAGCCUGAUGCAGCCAUGCCGCGUGUGUGAAGAAGGCCUUCGGGUUGUAAAGCACUGUCAGCGGGGAGGCGUUACCCGCAGAAGAAGCACCGGCUAACUCCGUGCCAGCAGCCGCGGUAAUAC
rnacentral:rRNA from 1 species